rnacentral:rRNA from 1 species
UACAGAGGGUGCAAGCGUUAAUCGGAAUUACUGGGCGUAAAGAGUGCGUAGGUGGUUGGAUAAGUUAGGUGUGAAAUCCCUGGGCUCAACCCAGGAACUGCGCUUAAAACUGUUCGGCUAGAGUAUUGUAGAGGAUAGUGGAAUUUCCAGUGUAGCGUUGAAAUGCGUAGAUAUUGGAAGGAACACCAGUGGCGAAGGCGACUAUCUGGGCAAAUACUGACACUGAGGCACGAAAGCAUGGGGAGCAAACAGG